UUCUACAGCCAUACCACCCUGAACAUACCCAGUCUUGUCUGAUCUUGGAAUUUAAGCAGGGUCAGGCAUAGUUUGUACAUGGAUGGGAGAUAUUAUAGAAUUUUGAGUACAAA
rfam:Oryctolagus cuniculus chromosome 3, whole genome shotgun sequence.